ACACAGGAUCUUCUACAUAUUCUGAAUACUUAGUUGACCACUGAAAAACCAUUCUACCACUUCAAAGUCCUACUUCAAUGCCCCACCAAGGAAUUAGGUAAAUAGCAUAAAAAGGGGGAUGGAGAUAAAAUUUCACAUCCUAAAAUCUGAAGCUCAGUAAGAGCAUGCACCUAUGCUAUAAAAACCAAAGGCUAAUUGUUCUACCGUGAUCUGUUCCUGGGAUGAAGAGAGAUGCUGAAGAUGGAAAAAAUCGUAUUAAAAAUAACAAUCUACCAGAAUCAAGUAAUACUGCACUUUAUGGACAGGGAUGAGUUUAAGUACAAACCCUUCUUUCUUCAUGGUUGAUGUCUGUGCCACACCAGCUUGGAGUAUCACCACUACUUACAGAAAAGUGAAUGCAAACCAAUCAGGCUCCACCCCGAACAUGGGGCUAGAACUGAUGACCCUGAGAUCAAGAGAUGUUACAUCCUCUACUGCCUGAAUCAGCCAAGUUACUCUGAACUUUUUUAAUGUUCUGCAACAUUUUUAAGGGAUAUAUAAUAUUUCAGUGCAUAUACAACCCAUAAUUUCCCCCCAAGCCCCAUUACUAGGGCCUUAGCCUAUUUAAAGAUGUCCACUAUUGGGAAUCCCUGGGUGGCUCAGCAGUUUAGCGCCUGCCUUUGACCCAGGGCAUGAUCCUGGAGUCCCUGGAUGAGGUCCCACAUCAGGCUCCCUGCAUGGAGCCUGCUUCUC